AAUGAACGUUGGCGGCGUGGAUUAGGCAUGCAAGUCGAGCGAGAACCCAGCAAUGGGGGACAGCGGCGAAAGGGACAGUAAUGUGUAGAUCAUCUGCCCUCAGGCCCGGGAUAGCUGCGGGAAACUGCAGGUAAUACCGGAUAAUAUCUCCGGAUCAAAGGUGUGAUUCCGCCUGGGGAUGAGUCUACAUCCUAUUAGCUAGUUGGUAGGGUAAUGGCCUACCAAGGCAUUGAUGGGUAGCGGGUGUGAGAGCACGACCCGCGUCAUUGGGACUGAGACACUGCCCAGACACCUACGGGUGGCUGCAGUCGAGAAUCUUCGGCAAUGGGCGCAAGCCUGACCGAGCGACGCCGCGUGCGGGAUGAAGGCC
rnacentral:rRNA from 1 species